GCUAGUGCUGACGAGUGGCGGACGGGUGAGUAACGCGUAGGAAUCUACCCAGUUGUGGGGGAUAGCCCGGAGAAAUCCGGAUUAAUACCGCAUACGCCCUACGGGGGAAAACAGGGGAUCUUCGGACCUUGUGCAAUUGGAUGAGCCUGCGUUAGAUUAGCUAGUUGGUGAGGUAAGAGCUCACCAAGGCAACGAUCUAUAGCUGGUCUGAGAGGAUGAUCAGCCACAUCGGGACUGAGACACGGCCCGGACUCCUACGGGAGGCAGCAGUGGGGAAUAUUGGACAAUGGACGAAAGUCUGAUCCAGCAAUGCCGCGUGUGUGAAGAAGGCCUGAGGGUUGUAAAGCACUUUCAAUUGUGAAGAAGAGGUUAGGUCUAAUAGGCCUGAUCUUUGACGUUAACUUUAGAAGAAGCACCGGCUAACUCCGUGCCAGCAGCCGCGGUAAUACGGAGGGUGCAAGCGUUAAUCGGAAUUACUGGGCGUAAAGCGCGCGUAGGCGGUUAUUUAAGUCAGAUGUGAAAGCCCCGGGCUCAACCUGGGAAUUGCCUCUGAUACUGGGUAACUAGAGUUUGGAAGAGGAGAGUAGAAUUUCAGGUGUAGCGGUGAAAUGCAUAGAGAUCUGAAGGAAUACCAGUGGCGAAGGCGGCUC
rnacentral:rRNA from 1 species